GCCGGAAUGGUCUAAUCGGUGAAGGCGUCACGCCGGACAGGCGAAGCUUGCGAGUUCAAUCCCCGCUCCUGGCG
rnacentral:tRNA from 1 species